rnacentral:lncRNA from 1 species
UAUAUUUAUUUCACUAUUGGUAUCAUAAGAUAAUCAAAUUAAGAAUACGAAACUAGACAACCAACACAUAAACUAAGAAAGCGGACCAAAGGGAGAAUAAUAAUCGAAAAGCCAAAACCACAAAAAAACAGGAAAAUAUAUGCCUAAAACACCGGAAUCACAACCAGUAGCUAAAAAGUAAGAAACACCUCACAAACUAAACAAGAACAUACAAGACGGCAUGCAAGUGAAAAACCACAAAGCUCUGGAUAAAAG